rnacentral:rRNA from 1 species
AUUGAACGCUAGCGGGAUGCUUUACACAUGCAAGUCGAACGGCAGCGCGGACUUCGGUCUGGCGGCGAGUGGCGAACGGGUGAGUAAUGUAUCGGAACGUGCCCAGUAGCGGGGGAUAACUACGCGAAAGCGUAGCUAAUACCGCAUACGCCCUACGGGGGAAAGCAGGGGAUCGUAAGACCUUGCACUAUUGGAGCGGCCGAUAUCGGAUUAGCUAGUUGGUGAGGUAACGGCUCACCAAGGCGACGAUCCGUAGCUGGUUUGAGAGGACGACCAGCCACACUGGGACUGAGACACGGCCCCGACUCCCACGGGAGGGAGCAGUGGGGAAUUUUGGACAAUGGGGGCAACCCUGAUCCAGCCAUCCCGCGUGUGCGAUGAAGGCCUUCGGGUUGUAAAGCACUUUUGGCAGGAAAGAAACGUCGCGGGCUAAUACCCCGUGGAACUGACGGUACCUGCAGAAUAAGCACCGGCUAACUACGUG